rnacentral:rRNA from 1 species
UCAAGAAACUUCCACAAUGGGCGAAAGCCUGAUGGAGCGACGUCGCGUGAUGGACGAAGUGCUUCGGCACGUAAACAUCUUUUAUGUGGGAUGAAAUUAUUGACAGUACCACAUGAAUAAGGGGCUCCUAACUCUGUGCCAGCAGGAGCGGUAAUACAGAGGCCCCAAGCGUUAUCCGGAAUCACUGGGCGUAAAGGGUGUCGAGGCGGUUGUAUUAGUCGUUCGUAAAAUCUACGAGCUUAACUUGUAGGCGGCGAACGAAACGGUACGACUUGAGGUUUGGAGAGGUGCGUGGAACUCACGGUGUAGGGGUGAAAUCCGUUGAUAUCGUGGGGAACACCAAAGGCGAAGGCGAUUUUCUAGCUUAGACCUGACGCUGAGGCGCGAAAGCAAGGGGAGCAAACAGGAUUAGAUACCCCCGUAGUCCCUGAGCGGGCUGGCAAGGCGCAU